AGCGUAGGCGGACAUUUAAGUCAGGGGUGAGAUCCCGGGGCUCAACCUCGGAACUGCCUUUGAUACUGGGUAUCUUGAGUAUGGAAGAGGUAAGUGGAAUUCCGAGUGUAGAGGUGAAAUUCGUAGAUAUUCGGAGGAACACCAGUGGCGAAGGCGGCUUACUGGUCCAUUACUGACGCUGAGGUGCGAAAGCGUGGGGAGCAAACA
rnacentral:rRNA from 1 species